AAUCGAUAUGGUUUCCACCACAACGCCUUCGUCUUCAACAAUAUCAUUAACCUUUCUUCCGAAUAUUGAAGCUGCCAUGUUGCUUACAACUUGAUAAAUAUCAUUACGUCCUUCCCACAAUGGGAAAAUUCCAACAGCGAAUACGGUAAAGAAAAUCCAUAUUAAUCCAACGACUACCCAUCCUGUGAAAAAUCUUUUGGAAAAUAUAUAUCCAGUUCCAUACAUUGGCCAAGGCCAAAGAAUAAUAAAUGCUGCAGUAAUGAUUAAUGCUGCAACCUUAGAGAUAACACUUGCACGAUUUAAUUUCUUUGUUUGUUGAAUCUCAUCUUCUUCAGAUGAGAAAUGCAUUGCAAACGUGGCCAACAAACGAUUGAAAUCGUAUUUUUCCGGAAAAAUUAUUGACAAAAUUAAAAUAUAUAAUGCUGGACUCAAUAAACCAACAACGUUACCAGCAAGCAUUGGGUUGUUUGCACCAGUCGUCUCAAUAGUGAGCGUUUUGCCUCCCUCAGCACGAGCAACAACAAGCCAAGUAAUAAUACUCGAAAUGAUUCCUAAAACCGGAGAAACGGUAACUGCAAUUGUAGACACGCGGCUAAAAAGCAUUACACAGGUAGCUGGAACAACAGCUGGACAUACUAAAACACCCAUCAAUAGAUAAAGAUAUCCCAUUGAUACUUGUCCAUAAUAAAGUCCAGUGGCAAAGCCUGACAUUGCGAAGCCAAAAACUAUCAAAGAUGCAUGCCCUGUAUAUAACAAUUCCUUGCCGGUGGCUCUGGGUCUAACGUAUUGCUUGUAAAUAUCAUAGGUAAAGAUUGAAGAGACGGCUAUUAAUUCGGCAGACGCUGCAGAUGUAACAGCCAUGAAAACAAGCAAUAAAGUAGCGUUUGCGCCAGCUCGACCCAUCAAUGCGAUAGCGGCAUAAGGCAAAACCAAUCCUUCACUAACUUCCAAGUCACUCAUUCUGUUGGGAUAAGUAGGGAAAUAGGGUUUAUUUUCUAAACCGAGAGCCACGAGACCCAUGGUUGUGGCAGCAAGCCAGGGAAUUGCAAACCAUGCAAGACCACCAAGGAUAUAGCCAGGUAAAGCAGAUGCAGGAUUAGCAGCAAUAGCUUUUUGCCAAUAUCCAUUAUCUACGAAAACUGUUCCAAAGUUUCCUGCCAAAUUGAUGAUAAAAAAGAUAGCACCCUCUUGGCUUCUCAUAGUUAAGUAACUACCUUGAGCGUUUCCAGCUACUGGAUGAGCAUCACCUGCUUCCUUUAACAUAUCAUAUAACUUUCCAGGAGAUCCGAUUUUUUUAUCAGCAGAAUAAGUGGCCAAGCUAAACAUGAUCAAAAUGACCAGGAUAAUAACGGUGUGGAUAUAAUCAGUAAGGAAAGUGGCUUUAAUACCUCCAAACAUAGUAUAAAUAAUAACACCAACUGGUAGCAAAAAGCAAACAGCUACAGUGUUCAUGCCCGUCACCGAAGAAAUUGUUGCCGAUCCACCACACAACAACAUGGCCAUAACAAGUAUAUUAGUGAUAUAUGCAAAAACCAGAAAUACACCGUGUGCGAUGGGGCCACAUCGAGCUCUGACAACCUCAAGGAAUGUAUGGGCGUUAGGAGCUUUGCGCUUGAGUUCAAUUGCUAGUACUGUAAACAGCAAAAUUUGGACGCAUGCACCUGAUGCAUACCAAAACGCACCUGAUACACCGUACUGGUAAGUUUUUUGAGCACUGGUCAACAGGGUAGAAGCCCACGUCCAACUACUAACUACUGCGCUAGCAACCAAUCCAGUCCUUACGCUAUGCGAGGCAGUGUUAAAAUGCUCUGAUGUUUGAUUUUCGUUAUUGAACUUUUUCAAACUCCAUGAAACAAAUAUCAUGAGUGCGGCAAAUCCCAAGCCAAGGCCCACAACGAUGCCAUAGCCAACACUUUGCGUCAAUUCGGGUUGGACCAUGUUGUGACAAUGUUGGUGAUUACUUUUGCUAACAGAUCUAAGGUAAUGAAUAGAUGGUUAGAGAAUUUUUUUCUCUACUUGUCACUCAAUCAAACCUAUAAAUCUUGAACUUUUUAAAUCAUUCUUAACUGCUCUAUUUAUAAUACACAUCUUUCCGUAAUUUAUGAAAAUUUACUAAUUCCAA